rnacentral:rRNA from 1 species
UGUCUUUUUGAAAAUAAUAUAAGGUUUGAUCUGCCCACUGAUUUUUAAUUGAAGGGCUGCAGUAUAUUGACUGUACAAAGGUAGCAUAAUCAUUAGUCAUUUAAUUGGUGACUUGUAUGAAGGAUUGGAUGAGAUAUAAUCUGUCUCUUAUUUAAUAAUAAAAUUUAAUUUUUAAAUUAAAAAGUUUAAAUAGCUUAAAAAGACGAGAAGACCCUAUAGAGUUUUAUAAAUAAAUUAAUUAAGGUUAUUAGGAUAGUUUAAAAUUAAAAUUAAUUUAUUUAUUUUGUUGGGGUGAUAGAAAAAUAUAUUUAACUUUUUUUUUUAGUUAAAACAUUUAUAAGUGGUUAAAUGAUCCAUUAUUAUUGAUUAUAAGAAAAAAUUACCUUAGGGAUAACAGCGUAAUUUUUUUUUUUAGUUCAUAUAAUAAAAAGAGUUUGCGACCUCGAUGUUGGAUUAAGAUAAAAUUUAAAUGCAGAAG